CCUACGGGAGGCAGCAGUGGGGAAUAUUGGACAAUGGGGGGAACCCUGAUCCAGCCAUGCCGCGUGUGUGAAGAAGGCCCUCGGGUUGUAAAGCACUUUCAGUGAGGAAGAACGCCUGGUGGUUAAUACCCAUCAGGAAAGACAUCACUCACAGAAGAAGCACCGGCUAACUCCGUGCCAGCAGCCGCGGUAAUACGGAGGGUGCGAGCGUUAAUCGGAAUUACUGGGCGUAAAGCGCGCGUAGGUGGCUUGAUAAGCCGGUUGUGAAAGCCCCGGGCUCAACCUGGGAACGGCAUCCUGAACUGUCAAGCUAGAGUGCAGGAGAGGAAGGUAGAAUUCCCGGUGUAGCGGUGAAAUGCGUAGAGAUCGGGAGGAAUACCAGUGGCGAAGGCGGCCUUCUGGACUGACACUGACACUGAGGUGCGAAAGCGUGGGUAGCAAACAGGAUUAGAUACCCCUGUAGUC
rnacentral:rRNA from 1 species